UCACCUAAUUUAUAGUUUAAAACACUGAAUACCACCUUUAAUUAUGAGUCAAUGUUCAACUCCACUAGAAUCGGUCAAAGGCCCGACUUCUCCUUUAUCUUCGUCACCAUUGUUCACCACCGUUAUCUCCAUCCCGCAUAGAUCUUUAAAUUGUGGUUAUUGAACCCGGUGAAUAUUUAGGUUGAAUCAAUGUUAUUUUGAUUAUUCCAAUCGAAUAUUCCAACUAUGCUUUCUCCUUUGCCUACUUCAGAUGCUUAAUCACUAUGGAGUUAAAAAAUGGUAUAAAAAAAUCCCACCCCACAGUCUCUUCCUCCAAAUUCGGUAUCGGGUUAGAGUUGCUACUCUUUUGCUUUUUAUUUUAUUUCUCUAUCUAUCCAUGAAACCCAUGAUUACUUAUCUAUCUAUGAAACCCAUUAUUACUGGUGUUGUUACAUCCUUCCUCUCUAUCUCCCUCUGUUUCUUUGCAAAAAACAACCACCAUGAACUCCUUGGCCAAGUCCUAACAGUGAGCUAUGAAAAAAUGCAAUUUUUUUAAGUUUGGUUCUUCUUCUGUGUUCUUUCUUUGACUUUUGAUUUUGUGAUUUAUUUUCUUUAAAAUUUGUUUUAGUUGGACUUGUAGGUAAGAUCCAAAGAAAAGAAGAAGAAACUUAUUUAACAUUCGCACAUAAGGUGUUUGAUGUAAUUACUCAAAGAGUUAUUUGUUUGUAUUUUUUGUUUCUAACAGGAUAGUAACCUCUUUGGAAAGAGGUAAGUUUUUUUCUCUCUUUACUACAAACUCCAAUCAUGAUAAUCUCCUUCCAAAAUGACCUUGAUGAUUAUAAUUUGUUGAUUUGAAGUAGAGAAUAGAAAAUGUCUUUGGUCAUUGCAUCUAUCUGAUAGGAAUUGCAUCAUUUGUGGUGAAUACAUUAUAUGAUAUUAUUGUUUAGUGGUGACUUUGGUCAUGACAGAUGUCAAAACGUGGUGUUUGGCAGCUUCAAAAAUUUAUAGUGAGCUAAUGUAAUCUAUUUUCCCAUAAUUAAUUAAUGUACUUUACUUUUGAGAUAUUUAUCAGCAUUUUGGCCAACUGAUACAUCUCUCAGCAGGUUCACGAGAAAAAAAUGGUGUUGUACAACUCUCUCUCUCUCUCUCUCUCACCUUCUUCUUUUCUCUAACUAUGUGUGUGAUUACAAAACCUGAAAGCAAAAACCUUUUUAUUGAUUUUUGUCUUGGGCUUUUUUGGUUACAUGUAUGAUACAAUAUCUAUCAAUCUCUCAUGUUUAUGUUUUUUUUUCUUCUUACAGUCUAUUUAUUCCCCUGAUUUCUGAUCUAUUUCACUUGGAUCAAAUUUCCCUAUUCAAGUGGUAUCAACCAAUUGAGUGUCUUUCCGGGUUCUUACUUUAUACUAAUGUUUUAAAGUGGGCUAAACUAACUUUUUAUUUUUUUUAAAGAAACAAUUUUUUUUUUGCUUAUAUAGAUUAUGUCUUUGUUUGUUCGUAUAAUGGUCUUCAAAAGCAAUUAUGGUCUAUAUCUUAUAAUCCUUCUAAAUGUGGUUGUGGCCCUUUUAUGAGGUUGUGUGUUACACCCUUCUAGCUAUAAAAUUAUAAUUUUGUAUUUCUUUUUCAUUUUUUCCAAACAUUAUUGUAAUAAUUUGAAGGUGGACAUGGUGUUCUAUCUGAUACAAUACCAUAGAAAUAUCUUUGGGAUUCAAUAUCAAAAUUGCAUUCAAAAAAGCAUAAUUUGAAGAGAAGAUUUAUUACAUGAUCGCUAAACUUUGGUGCUUAAAUUGCUCAAAAGGAUGAUGUCAAGUAACGAGCAGGGUACGUCCAAUGUGAUUCUUGAGGUAUAAAGAUACAAUUACUUUAGUAAUAUGUGGUUAAAACAUAUUAUACUCUCACGACCAUUAUAGAUCAAAUAUUGGAUACUAUAUUGUUGUUAGAGUACUUGGAAAGGCAUUUAUCGCAAGCUAAAUUCCAAAUUACUAUAUCAUUUUUUUUCCAUAGAGUACUAAAUAUUAUAUUAUAUCUAAAGUAUAAACCUAAAUCCUCCAAAUAAUCAAUAAAAAUUUCCGGUUAAGGCUAAAUGCUGGAAAUAGCAACAUACUUUCGUUUUCUUUUGGUAUUAUUUUUCCCUUUAUUAGAUUAUGUGAUUGGUGAGUUAUUUUUCUUAUACAUGUUAUGUAAUUCGAAGCAAUUUUUCACAUGGUUUUUUGUUGGGAUUACACCAAAACAGGUUUAAUGCAAAAUAUAGUGACGUAGUGUUUUUAUUUCUAUAUUAUAGCAUUCUACUUUCUUCAAAGCUUUUGUAUAAUGUAUCAAUUUAUUAUCUCAUGAUGUAAGUAAAAAAAAACCAUAGAGUUUUUUAUUUGAAUGGGCUGGUGUUUUUGCGUCUUGCCUCAUUGAAAAAAUGUAAUGUUUUGUUAUGCAAAUGUUCGUUGACUCUUGUGGUCAGUCAUAACAUUUGUUGAAUUUACUGGUAA